rnacentral:lncRNA from 1 species
AACUCCCUCCUUUUUUUUCUUUUCCAAUGAUUUCAAUCGUUACUCUCCAGUUUUUUCUCUUUACUUCUUCUUCCGUCAUGGUGGAGGCUUCAGACAAUAGCAAGUUUUAGUUUUCGCCUAGGUCCUUAACCAAGGAUGACUUGUUCAUGGACAAGAGCAAAGCUAAGAACAAUCUCAAGAAUCCCGAAGAUUGUUUUGGAUUAGACCACUUGUGCAUCGACAAAAAGAAAGCUAAGAACAAUCCCAAGAACUCCAAAGUUUUGUUUUUUGGAAAACAAUUAUUGAGAGAAGGUACACACAAUGCCAUUGUUUUUACAGGAUUGACCACAUUUUUUUUAUGUUCUCUGCUCUAACAAUGUUAUUGGGUCCAAAUUUGCCAAAAUCAAUGAAAUGGUUGUUUUACAGAAAAGAUUAAUGUAAUGGUGGAAUAGCACAGAGCUUAAAAAUUGGGGAAAAAGAAAAGAAAAAGCCGCACUUGAUCGUCCUCUUCAUAUCUGGGUCUCGAGCAACUCCAUUGGUCACAAUAUUUGACGCAGAGAGAACCAGACUGAUGCAAGUAAAAGCCACAUAAGCCACACAAGGCAAUUAUCUUAUUUUCAUUACUUGAAUUUGCGUAUAGAAUAUCAAAAUCAAAAAAUUUGGUUACACUUGGGAUGAAAACAAAGACUGCUUAAACCCCACCCAAAAAUCAUCCCACAGACAUAAUAUCCCUGUACAGCAAAAGAGUCAAAAACACAGAAUCUACAAGAGAUACACAAUGAGUAAAAAGACCAUCCUCAUUCCUUUAGCAUGAAAUCGAAUCAAAUUUUCCUUCACGCCCUGCCAUCCUUAAAGCACUGCAAAAACCAGCAUAAAGACACUAUCUCGAGACAUAACCACAUCGGGUUACAACAUAGUAGCCCAAAUAUAAUAUCAUGCCAUCAAUACACACCAACAUAUCACAAACCACGCUAAUCAAAGGCUAUUGGUAAGUUAGUUGUCCACUGGAUCCCUUCUUCAGCAAAGGAUCUCAAAGAUGGCUUAUGUGUUCUUUCCGGAUCUAAGUUCUCCGAUGGAGUCUAUUUUGGGUUUUGCUAAAACAGAGAAUGACAAAGAAGGUAAAUACCACUUGAGUUCUUAACCGAUAACGACUUGUUCAUGAAGAAGAGUAAAGCUAAGAACAAUCCAAAAAUCCCUAAGAUGGCUGACGUUUCCUAGAUUGGAGAGUAAUGAUUGGAAAUAUCAGGGAAAGAAAAAAAAAAAGUUAACGUGCUGUUGAUAAACUUCCAUUUAUUGGACAGAUGGCAUAAUCUUAUAAGAGGGGCAGGAAACGGGACACCAAUUCGGGGCAGAAGAUAUGAUUCCUUCUUUGGCACAUUCUUCAACCAAUUCUCGAUGUCUUGGGGUUAAAUUCCUGUACAAAUGGAUUCCAAUAAUCAUUUAACUUGCUUUUAAGGGAAGCACAUAAAUUGAGGCGUAAUUUGCUUCAAAUGUGAAUAUGCUCAGAGCAAAUAGGGGUGCUCCUGACGCUGGGGUGUUGUAAAGAUACCUAGACGAUAUGAAAGACAUCAAUCGUGACAAGUUUGAAAACCCCACUAAAGUGAAUAACCAAUCUUGGCAAGAUUGAAAACCCCACUAAGGUAAAAAAUAACCAAAAUCUCACUUUGGUUGGCUAGGCCAAAGAUAUUAAAACCUCUUACUCUUUAAAAAGAGCACUCAUUGAGCUUUUUCGUAAUUGUUGUUUCUCAACCUUUAAUGCUAAUCUGAUGACAUCAUUUACGUUCCAAUAUGGUUGUAGUUGAACAACAUCUGCAAUUCCAACAUUAAGACCCCCAAGAUAACGAGCUACAGUUUGUUCUUCAGGUUCAUGGACAUCGCACUUCAUGUGAAGUUGCUUGAACUCCAUU